AGAACGCUGAAGAGAGGAGCUUGCUCUUCUUGGAUGAGUUGCGAACGGGUGAGUAACGCGUAGGUAACCUGCCUUGUAGCGGGGGAUAACUAUUGGAAACGAUAGCUAAUACCGCAUAACAAUGGGUGACACAUGUCAUUUAUUUGAAAGGGGCAAUUGCUCCACUACAAGAUGGACCUGCGUUGUACUAGCUAGUAGGUGAGGUAACGGCUCACCUAGGCGACGAUACAUAGCCGACCUGAGAGGGUGAUCGGCCACACUGGGACUGAGACACGGCCCAGACUCCUACGGGAGGCAGCAGUAGGGAAUCUUCGGCAAUGGGGGCAACCCUGACCGAGCAACGCCGCGUGAGUGAAGAAGGUUUUCGGAUCGUAAAGCUCUGUUGUAAGUCAAGAACGAGUGUGAGAGUGGAAAGUUCACACUGUGACGGUAGCUUACCAGAAAGGGACGGCUAACUACGUGCCAGCAGCCGCGGUAAUACGUAGGUCCCGAGCGUUGUCCGGAUUUAUUGGGCGUAAAGCGAGCGCAGGCGGUUUGAUAAGUCUGAAGUUAAAGGCUGUGGCUCAACCAUAGUUCGCUUUGGAAACUGUCAAACUUGAGUGCAGAAGGGGAGAGUGGAAUUCCAUGUGUAGCGGUGAAAUGCGUAGAUAUAUGGAGGAACACCGGUGGCGAAAGCGGCUCUCUGGUCUGUAACUGACGCUGAGGCUCGAAAGCGUGGGGAGCGAACAGGAUU
rnacentral:rRNA from 1 species